rnacentral:misc_RNA from 1 species
AACGCAUCUUGCACUAUUCGGCCUUCCCGAAUAGUAUGCCUGGUUGAGUGUCUAUGUAUCUCUCCUAUCCCAGCAUUUGUUUGUUGGAUCAAUAGGGAAUUGGGGUCUUAUCGUCGAAUCAGUCUUCAUCGACUGCCUUGGCGAACCCUUGAAAUACAGUAAGCUCCUAUCUAUACUGGAAAUACGUAAUCUGGAGAUGGCGUCGUAGCUAAAUCUUAACUGAUUGGUCGAAGCGCCUACAACAUACUCCUAACCACGGUGUUAAUCCUUUUGAUUGGGUGAAGCUUAGCGACUGAGCAAAGCGCUCUUGCCAUCAUCAUCUUCCCGUCACACGGAAGAGGCAACUCGAACAAUAAUGACCUCAACUCAGGUAGGACGACCCGCUGGACUUAA